CCUACGGGGUGCAGCAGUGAGGAAUAUUGGUCAAUGGACGAGAGUCUGAACCAGCCAAGUAGCGUGAAGGAUGACUGCCCUAUGGGUUGUAAACUUCUUUUAUAUGGGAAUAAAACGUUCCACGUGUGGGAUUUUGUAUGUACCAUAUGAAUAAGGAUCGGCUAACUCCGUGCCAGCAGCCGCGGUUAUACGGAGGAUCCGAGCGUUAUCCGGAUUUAUUGGGUUUAAAGGGAGCGUAGGUGGAUUGUUAAGUCAGUUGUGAAAGUUUGCGGCUCAACCGUAAAAUUGCAGUUGAAACUGGCAGUCUUGAGUACAGUAGAGGUGGGCGGAAUUCGUGGUGUAGCGGUGAAAUGCUUAGAUAUCACGAAGAACUCCGAUUGCGAAGGCAGUUCACUGGACUGCAACUGACACUGAGGCUCGAAAGUGUGGGUAUCAAACAGGAUUAGAUACCCCUGUAGUC
rnacentral:rRNA from 1 species